UACGGGGGGGGCAAGCGUUGUUCGGAAUUACUGGGCGUAAAGGGCGCGUAGGCGGUUCGCUAAGUUGGAUGUGAAAACUCUGGGCUUAACCCAGAGCCUGCAUCCAAAACUGGCGAACUUGAGUACUGGAGGGGAAAGCGGAAUUCCUGGUGUAGCAGUGAAAUGCGUAGAGAUGUGGAGGAACACCGAUGGCGAAGGCGGGUCUCUGGGCCGAUACUGGACGCUGAGGAGCGAAAGCGUGGGGAGCGAACAGG
rnacentral:rRNA from 1 species